CGAACGCUGGCGGCAGGCCUAACACAUGCAAGUCGAGCGCUCUCUUCGGAGGGAGCGGCGGACGGGUGAGUAACGCGUGGGAACAUGCCUUUCGGUACGGAAUAUUCUCGGGAAACUGGGAGCAAUACCGUAUACGCCCUUCGGGGGAAAGAUUUAUCGCCGAGAGAUUGGCCCGCGUCUGAUUAGAUAGUUGGUGGGGUAACGGCCUACCAAGUCGACGAUCAGUACCUGGUUUGAGAGGAUGAUCAGGCACACUGGGACUGAGACACGGCCCAGACUCCUACGGGAGGCAGCAGUGGGGAAUCUUGGACAAUGGGGGCAACCCUGAUCCAGCCAUGCCGCGUGAACGAUGAAGGCCUUAGGGUUGUAAAGUUAUUUCGCCGGUGACGAUAAUGACGGUAGCUGGAGACGAAGACCCGGUUAACUCG
rnacentral:rRNA from 1 species